rnacentral:rRNA from 1 species
GCCCAGACUCCUACGGGAGGCAGCAGUGGGGAAUAUUGCACAAUGGGGGAAACCCUGAUGCAGCGACGCCGCGCGAGCGAUGAAGUAUUUCGGUAUGUAAAGCUCUAUCAGCAGGGAAGAAAAUGACGGUACCUGACUAAGAAGCCCCGGCUAACUACGUGCCAGCAGCCGCGGUAAUACGUAGGGGGCAAGCGUUAUCCGGAUUUACUGGGUGUAAAGGGAGCGUAGACGGCGGUGCAAGUCUGAUGUGAAAGGCCGGGGCCCAACCCCGGGACUGCAUUGGAAACUGCGAGGCUGGAGUGUCGGAGAGGCAGGCGGAAUUCCUAGUGUAGCGGUGAAAUGCGUAGAUAUUAGGAGGAACACCAGUGGCGAAGGCGGCCUGCUGGACGAUGACUGACGCUGAGGCUCGAAAGCGUGGGGAGCAAACAGGAUUAGAUACCCUCGUAAG